GACGAACGCUGGCGGCGUGCUUAACACAUGCAAGUCGAACGGAAAGGCCCUGCUUUUGUGGGGUGCUCGAGUGGCGAACGGGUGAGUAACACGUGAGUAACCUGCCCUUGACUUUGGGAUAACUUCAGGAAACUGGGGCUAAUACCGGAUAGGAGCUCCUGCUGCAUGGUGGGGGUUGGAAAGUUUCGGCGGUUGGGGAUGGACUCGCGGCUUAUCAGCUUGUUGGUGGGGUAGUGGCUUACCAAGGCUUUGACGGGUAGCCGGCCUGAGAGGGUGACCGGCCACAUUGGGAAUGAGAUACGGCCCAGACUCCUACGGGAGGCAGAAGUGGGGAAUAUUGAAAAAUGGGCGGAAGCCUGAUGCAGCAACGCAGCGUGCGGGAUGACGGCCUUCGGGUUGUAAACCGCUUUCGCCUGUGACGAAGCGUGAGUGACGGUAAUGGGUAAAGAAGCACCGGCUAACUACGUG
rnacentral:rRNA from 1 species